rnacentral:rRNA from 1 species
GUGCCAGCAGCCGCGGUAAUACGUAGGGUGCGAGCGUUAAUCGGAAUUACUGGGCGUAAAGCGUGCGCAGGCGGUUUGUUAAGAUAGGCGUGAAAUCCCCGGGCUCAACCUGGGAACUGCGUUUAUGACUGGCAGGCUAGAGUAUGGCAGAGGGGGGUGGAAUUCCACGUGUAGCAGUGAAAUGCGUAGAGAUGUGGAGGAACACCGAUGGCGAAGGCAGCCCCCUGGGCCAAUACUGACGCUCAUGCACGAAAGCGUGGGUAGCAAACAGGAUUAGAUACCCUGGUAGUCCACGCCCUAAACGAUGUCAACUAGGUGUUGGGUGGGUAAAACCAUUUAGUACCGGAGCUAACGCGUGAAGUUGACCGCCUGGGGAGUACGGCCGCAAGGUUAAAACUCAAAUAAAUUGACGG